rnacentral:rRNA from 1 species
CCUACGGGUGGCAGCAGUAGGGAAUUUUCGUCAAUGGGCGCAAGCCUGAACGAGCGAUGCCGCGUGAGUGAAGAAGGCCUUCGGGUCGUAAAGCUCUUUUGCGGGGGAAAAAAGUCAGCAUCAGUAAAUGCUUGCUGACUGAUGGUGCCCCGCCAGAAAGCCACGGCUAACUACGUGCCAGCAGCCGCGGUAAUACGUAGGUGGCGAGCGUUAUCCGGAAUGAUUGGGCGUAAAGGGUGCGCAGGCGGUUCUGCAAGUCUGUAGUGAAACGGAUGAGCUCAACUUAUGCAUGGCAUUGGAAACUGGAGGACUGGAGGGCAGGAGAGGGCGGUGGAACUCCAUGUGUAGCGGGAAAAUGCGUAGAUAUGUGGAAGAAGA